rfam:Lachnospiraceae bacterium 5_1_57FAA genomic scaffold supercont1.4, whole genome shotgun sequence.
UCGUGCAGCCGGGGUGUUAGCGGUACCUUGUACCUGCAAUCCGCUAUAGCAGGGGUGAUAUUGCGCGGAGGGCACAGUUCUGUAGAGCUGCCCUUGAAAAGUGGCGUUGAUGCCUGGGUCUUACGCGACGGAAAUUCAUGAACCGUGUCAGGUCGGGAACGAAGCAGCACUAAGUGGAACCUUCCGGGUGCCGUGAGGGUGCCUGGGCUGAGUUAACUGUCGAGGUAACGUCUAUGGGGCCGGGUUCGAAGCGCAAUGCACGA